rfam:Sporomusa sp. An4 isolate Sporomusa ovata strain An4 genome assembly, contig: SPAN4DRAFT_scaffold-2
CUACUCUUUGUUGGGUAUAGAACCAGUACCGGGUCUUUGAAUUCGACCCGGUAACGUGGCGAAUUAAGCGUGGGACGGGAAGGGAGCAGGUUGAAAGCGAUGAGCGGAAGGGAUUGAGCUGCGAAAACUAAGACGAGAAGGCCGAUGCUUUUAUACUGGCAGAAGGCAAUAGCCCACAGGCCGAAAAGGUAAUGGACUUUUAGCAACAUAACUGUGUUGUCAAAUCC